GGGAGGUGGGGGGGUCAGCCCCCCCCUGGCCAGCCACCCCGUCUGGGAGGUGUACCCAACAGCUCAUUGAGAACGGGCCAUGAUGACAAUGGCGGUUUUGUGGAAUAGAAAGGGGGGAAAGGUGGGGAAAAGAUUGAGAAAUCGGAUGGUUGCCGUGUCUGUGUAGAAAGAGGUAGACAUGGGAGACUUUUCAUUUUGUUCUGUACUAAGAAAAAUUCUUAUCCUGUUGAUCUGUGACCUUACCCCCAACCCUGUGCUCUCUGAAUCAUGUGCUGUGUCCACUCAGGGUUAAAUGGAUUAAGGGCGGUGCAAGAUGUGCUUUGUUAAACAGAUGCUUGAAGGCAGCAUGCUCCUUAAGAGUCAUCACCACUCCCUAAUCUCAAGUACCCAGGGACACAAACACUGCGGAAGGCCGCAGUGUCCUCUGCCUAGGAAAACCAGAGACCUUUGUUCACUUGUUUAUCUGCUGACCUUGCCUCCACUAUUGUCCUAUGACCGUGCCAAAUCCCCCUCUGCGAGAAACACCCA
rnacentral:lncRNA from 10 species